rnacentral:rRNA from 1 species
GACGAACCGUGCGAACGUUGUUCGGAAUCACUGGGCUUAAAGGGCGCGUAGGCGGGUCCGCAAGUCUGGGGUGAAAGCCCCCGGCUCAACCGGGGAAGUGCCGCGGAUACUGCGGACCUCGAGGGGGGUAGGGGCGCGUGGAACUUCCGGUGGAGCGGUGAAAUGCGUAGAUAUCGGAAGGAACGCCGGUGGCGAAAGCGACGCGCUGGGCCCCUUCUGACGCUGAGGCGCGAAAGCCAGGGGAGCAAACGGG